GAGGGUACAGCUCAGUGCUAGAGUGCAUGCUUAGCAUGCAUGAGACCCUGGGUUCCGUCCCCAGUACCUCCA
rnacentral:tRNA from 1 species